rnacentral:sRNA from 1 species
GCCGGGCGCAGCAGUGCAUGCCUGUAAUCCCAGCAGCUCAGGAGGCUGAGGAAGGAGGAUCACGAGUUCAAAGCCAGCCUCAGCAAAAGUGAGGUGCUAACAACUCAGUGAGACCCUGUCUCUA